rnacentral:rRNA from 1 species
AUACCCGCUGAACUUAAGCAUAUCAAUAAGCGGAGGAAAAGAAACCAACAGGGAUUGCCUCAGUAACGGCGAGUGAAGCGGCAUUAAGCUCAAAUUUAAAAUCUGGCCCCUCUCCGGGCCCGAGUUGUAAUUUGGAGAGGAUGCUUCGGGGGCGGCGGCGGUCUAAGUCCCUUGGAACAGGGCGUCGCAGAGGGUGAGAAUCCCGUAUGUGACUGGCGACCAACCCCGUGUGAAGCUCCUUCGACGAGUCGAGUUGUUUGGGAAUGCAGCUCUAAAUGGGUGGUAAAUUUCAUCUAAAGCUAAAUAUUGGCCGGAGACCGAUAGCGCACAAGUAGAGUGAUCGAAAGAUGAAAAGCACUUUGGAAAGAGAGUCAAAAAGUACGUGAAAUUGUUGAAAGGGAAGCGCUCGCAACCAGACCUGCCCGCGGGCGAUCAGCGGUGGGGUUCCGCCGUGCACUCGCCUGUGACCAGGCCAGCAUCGGUUUCGGUGGCUGGAAAAAGACUCCGGGAAGGUAGCUCCCUCCGGGGAGUGUUAGAGCCCGGGGUGCAAUACGGCCAGCCGGGGCCGAGGACCGCGCUUCGGCUAGGAUGCUGGCGUAAUGGUCGUGAGCGACCCGUCUUGAAACACGGACCAAGGAGUCUAACAUCUAUGCGAGUGUUCGGGCAUCAAACCCGCACGCGCAAUGAAAGUGAACGGAGGUGGGAGCCCUUUAGGGUGCACCAUCGACCGAUCCAGAAGUUUACGGAUGGAUUUGAGUAGGAGCAUAGCUGUUGGGACCCGAAAGAUGGUGAACUAUGCCUGAAUAGGGUGAAGCCAGAGGAAACUCUGGUGGAGGCUCGCAGCGGUUCUGACGUGCAAAUCGAUCGUCAAAUUUGGGUAUAGGGGCGAAAGACUAAUCGAACCAUCUAGUAGCUGGUUCCUGC